rnacentral:rRNA from 1 species
UACGUAGGCAGCAAGCGUUGUUCGGAUUUACUGGGCGUAAAGGGUGUGUAGGCGGCCUGUUAAGUUCCGUGUGAAAUCUCCCGGCUCAACCGGGAGGGUGCGCGGAAAACUGGCGGGCUAGAGUGCGGGAUGGGAGAGUAGAAUUCCUGGUGUAGCGGUGAAAUGCGUAGAUAUCAGGAGGAAUACCGGUGGUGUAGACGGCUCUCUGGACCGCAACUGACGCUGAAACACGAAAGCGUGGGUAGCAAACAGG